UAUUUUAAAUUUUCAGCAAUGGAUGUCUUGGCUCGCGCAACGAUGAAGGACGCAGCGAAAUGCGAAACGCAAUGG
rnacentral:rRNA from 1 species